CAGCCUGUGACGCAGUCGGUUUAGCGUGUCGUUCUUAUAUUGUAUGCUUGCAUGCAUUAUGCCUCUUAUAUGAGUAAUGCGAAAGUCGCGAGUUCAAGUCUCGCCAGGAUCA
rnacentral:tRNA from 1 species